UACGUAGGGUGCAAGCGUUGUCCGGAAUAUUGGGCGUAAAGAGCUCGUAGGCGGUCUGUCACGUCGGCUGUGAAAACCCGGGGCUCAACCCCGGGCCUGCAGUCGAUACGGGCAGACUAGAGUGCGGUAGGGGAGACUGGAAUCCUGGUGUAGCGGUGAAAUGCGCAGAUAUCAGGAGGAACACCGAUGGCGAAGGCAGAUCUCUGGGCCGUAACUGAGCUGAGGAGCGAAAGCAUGGGGAGCAACAGG
rnacentral:rRNA from 1 species